CCUACGGGCGACAGCAGUGAGGAAUAUUGGUCAAUGGACGCAAGUCUGAACCCGCCAUGCCGCGUGCAGGAAGACGGCCCUAUGAGUUGUAAACUGCUUUUGUACGAGGGUAAACGCAGAUACGCGUAUCUGUCUGAAAGUAUCUUAAGAAUAAGGAUCGGCUAACUCCGUGCCAGCAGCCGCGGUAAUACGGAGGAUUCAAGCGUUAUCCGGAUUUAUUGGGUUUAAAGGGUGCGUAGGCGGUCGGAUAAGUUAGAGGUGAAAUCCCGAGGCUCAACUUCGGAAUUGCCUCUGAUACUGUUCGGCGAGAGAGUAGGUGCGGUAGGCGGAAUGUAUGGUGUAGCGGUGAAAUGCUUAGAGAUCACACAGAACACCGAUUGCGAAGGCAGCUUACCAAGCUACUUCUGACGUUGAGGCACGAAAGCGUGGGGAGAAAACAGGAUUAGAUACCCCAGUAGUC
rnacentral:rRNA from 1 species